AGUGAACGCUGGCGGUAGGCCUAACACAUGCAAGUCGAACGGCAGCACAGUAAGAGCUUGCUCUUACGGGUGGCGAGUGGCGGACGGGGGAGGAAUACAUCGGAAUCUACGUGUUCGUGGGGGAGAACGUAGGGAAACUUACGCUAAUACCGCAUACGACCUACGGGUGAAAGCAGGGGAUCUUCGGACCUUGCGCGAUUGAAGGAGCCGAUGUCGGAUUAGCUAGUUGGCGGGGUAAAGGCCCACCAAGGCGACGAUCCGUAGCUGGUCUGAGAGGAUGAUCAGCCACACUGGAACUGAGACACGGUCCAGACUCCUACGGGAGGCAGCAGUGGGGAAUAUUGGACAAUGGGCGCAAGCCUGAUCCAGCCAUACCGCGUGGGUGAAGAAGGCCUUCGGGUUGUAAAGCCCUUUUGUUGGGAAAGAAAAGCAGCAGGUUAAUACCCCGCUGUUCUGACGGUACCCAAAGAAUAAGCACCGGCUAACUUCGUG
rnacentral:rRNA from 1 species